AACGGUCUAUACCUGCGGUACCUGCGGAAGGAUCAUUAUCGAGUGUGACCCCCCUGUAAAAAAGGGGGUACCUCCCGUCCUUUUGCUAGGCCCUCCCCCUCCAAAAUUUUUUUUGACAGGGGGAAGCUUUUUCAAACCUUCUGCUUCGGUGGGUUUUAAACCCCACCGGAACAACCUCAAAAAUUCUUUAUAAUUGUUCUGUCCGAGAAAAAUUUUAUAAAAUGAAAAAACUUUUAACAA
rnacentral:misc_RNA from 1 species